rnacentral:rRNA from 1 species
UACGUAGGGCGCAAGCGUUGUCCGGAAUUAUUGGGCGUAAAGAGCUCGUAGGCGGCUUGUCACGUCGGAUGUGAAAGCCCGAGGCUUAACCUCGGGUCUGCAUUCGAUACGGGCUAGCUAGAGUGUGGUAGGGGAGAUCGGAAUUCCUGGUGUAGCGGUGAAAUGCGCAGAUAUCAGGAGGAACACCGGUGGCGAAGGCGGAUCUCUGGGCCAUUACUGACGCUGAGGAGUGAAAGCGUGGGGAGCGAACAGG